rnacentral:rRNA from 1 species
AUAAGCACUUGUACUGUGAAACUGCGAAUGGCUCAUUAAAUCAGUUAUCGUUUAUUUGAUUGUACUCUCUUACUACUUGGAUAACCGUAGUAAUUCUAGAGCUAAUACAUGCGAAAAGUCCCGACUCUCGUGGAAGGGAUGUAUUUAUUAGAUUAAAAACCAAUGCGGCUUCGCGGCCGCUUACCCACUUGGUGAUUCAUAGUAACUGUUCGAAUCGCAUGGCCUUGUUUCAUGUGCCGGCGAUGUUUCAUUCAAAUUUCUGCCCUAUCAACUGUCGAUGGUAAGGUAGUGGCUUACCAUGGUUGCAACGGGUGACGGAGAAUUAGGGUUCGAUUCCGGAGAGGGAGCCUGAGAAACGGCUACCACAUCCAAGGAAGGCAGCAGGCGCGCAAAUUACCCAAUCCUGACGUGGGGAGGUAGUGACAAAAAAUAACAAUACAGGGCUUUUUUGUAGUCUUGUAAUUGGAAUGAGUACAAUUUAAAUCUCU